rnacentral:lncRNA from 1 species
GUGGGAAUUUUCUAUCAGUCACUUUGAUAGUCACUGGAGAGGGGGAAAGACUGAAGGCAGGGAGGCCAGUUAGGAAUUAUUGCAAAGAAACCAAAUUAGAGAUGAUGGUCCUAACCUGGACAGUAAUGGUAGAGAUGGAAGGAGGAGCCCUGGUUAGAAAUGGUAGAGGGGAAAAAGGGAAUCAGAUGACUGCCAAGUUUCUGACUUGGGCAACCUGAGUCUGAUCAUGUCAUGUUUCCUCUUGGAACUCUAUGGUAGCUUCCAAUUUUCAAGUAAAAAGCCAGUGUCCUUCAGUGCUCACAUGGCCCAGCAUGAGCACUCCACAUCUAUUGUCUCUGUGAUUUCAUUGUCUGUAACUUCUCCACUUAUUUCCCUGUCUCUGCACCUGGGCCUUCUCAUUCUUUCUGGAACAUGGCAAGCAUGUUUCCGACUUUAGCCAGGAAAUGUUUUUAUUACUUUAUUUAAGUGUGUUUAUCGUGCUCAUGGGGGACUCCAGGUGGAAAUAUUCUAUAGACAGACAGUUGGAAAUAUGGAUUCUACACUCAAAGGAUAGAUCUAGGUUAGUGAUUGAGAGUUGACCCUGAGGUCAUGAGGAGGGAGCUGGCAGUUGAAGGGAGAGUAUGUGGUGGCCCUGUGAGGCUUUGGGUAGAGUAAGAAAGGAAAAGGUGCUGAGGGUGGAGCCCUGGAGAACUCCCUGUAAUGGGUUGGCAGAAGAGGAAAGAAGGAUUCAGGGAGAAGGAACUGAAGCCAACAGAUGUUCAUUGUGUAUGAUGUGCCAGGUUCAUCAAGCCAUGGGGACAAGUCAUUUUUCUGACUUGGGCCACUACUUCAAGUAUUAAUCACCAAACUUGAGGCAAAAUACAGCCGAGAAUAAGCCAAAUCUCUUGUCCUCAAGGAGCUGAUUUUUUUAGUGCCUUUGGGACAUUAGAUCUCUCCUAACGGGGCUGGUAUUAGAAAUAGUUUGAAUAAUCAGAAAAGCCCCUGCCUUAAUAAUUUAUCUGCUAACUUAUGUAAGUUGCUUUCCUUCUUCCUCCAUCCCAAGAUGCUCUGUGAGGACCUGCCUAUCCGUACAGUGGUUUCCCCUCCUUCCCAGAUGACAUUUGAUUAAGGAUUUCAUCCUGAGCAAACAUCUUUCCCUCAUCCACCUGCCAGCCCCCCAUGAUUUCAGGAGACUUUUUCUUGCUUACCUUCAAAGAAGAACCUGGAAGCCUACACAUCUUUGAAUUGCUCUUUGAAUUGUUGGCAUUGUGGCUAAUCAAAAAUGUUAGGAGAGGGAAUGGGUGAGUAGAUGGGGAGGUAAGUAAAUGGUGAAUGGGUAAAUGGAUAUAUUCAUUGAACAUAUAUUAAGCACUUACUGUGUUCUAGUACUUCUCUAGAGGGUGAAGUAUAGCAGUGAACAAAACAGAAUCCCUACUGGUAAGGAGUUUAAAAGGGGCAGAGUGAGUGAGUAGAUAAAAGAGAGGUGAGUGGGUGGCUGGAUAGAUGGGGGUAGAUGGAUGAGUGAGUGGAAAGGCAGAUGGAGAAUGAUGGAUAGAUAUCCAGAUGGAUGGGUGGAAGGAGAAUGUGGGUGGGUGGGGAGAUGGAGAGAUGGAUAGGAAAUGGUGGAUGAAUAAAUGGGUUUGAUGGAUGGGUAAAGGAUGGAAAGAUGGUAAGCCAUAAGCUUUGGGUCUAAAGAGUCAAAAGCUGUCUUCCAGAGAGUUCUCUCCCACAGUUUGACAUUCUAUUAGCCCAACCUUUUUUGGUGCUGUUCUUGGUUUCUCAUGCCCUCCCCCAUUUUUCCCUCUAGAACAUGCCUCAAAACUCCUCUUUCAAAACUUGUUAAAUAUUUCAUUUGGGUGGGGGGAUUCCUGGUCAUGAGCAGUGCCACCCUGGAAGCCAAGGAAAUGUUCUGGAUGCAUCGCACAGAUCUCCAUCUUCAGCCAACAAAGAUACCACCAGGAAGAAAAGGCUUUAAUAAAGUCAUGGGGUUCUUCCCCUUCCCCCCAA